UACGUAGGGGGCAAGCGUUAUCCGGAUUUACUGGGUGUAAAGGGAGCGUAGGCGGCGAUGCAAGUCAGAAGUGAAAGCCCGGGGCUCAACUCCGGGACUGCUUUUGAAACUGUGUUGCUAGAUUGCAGGAGAGGUAAGUGGAAUUCCUAGUGUAGCGGUGAAAUGCGUAGAUAUUAGGAGGAACACCAGUGGCGAAGGCGGCUUACUGGACUGUAAAUGACGCUGAGGCUCGAAAGCGUGGGGGGCAAACAGG
rnacentral:rRNA from 1 species